CAGGGAGAUGCCAUGUAGAACAUAAAGAGGCAGAGAUCACGGAGAUGCAUCUACAAGCCAACGAACACCAAAGAUUGCAUCAAACCACCAGCAGCUAGGAGAGAGGCGUAGAACAGGUCCUCCCUCACUGCCCUCAGGAGGAACCAACCCUGCCAGCUACUUGGUCUCGGACUUCCAGCUGCCAGAACUGUGAGAUCAGAGAUCUCUGUUGGUUAAGCCACCCAGAUUGCCAUACUUUGUUAUGGCAGCCCUAGCAGGCUACUAGAGGCUUCAACCUGAAGUUAGCAAGACCGAGCAGAUGAGAGUGGAGAAUGGGUGUUGCUUGGGAAGUGCCCAGGGCUGGCUUGUUUGCAUGGAGACUUGAGGAACCAUUCACAAUUCCUGGGGAUUCACACAUAAAGAAAGAACAUCAGCAGAUCCCUGAGGAAGUUGCAAGACCCUAAUGAAGAAGCGGCUGUAUCAUAUCACCUGCCAGAUGGGGCUUAGGCAGCCUCCCAGAGCUUCCUACACCGAAGAAUCACACAGGAGCAGCAGAGCCAUCCCUGAGUGCCCAUGGGUAGCAUAGUAGCGGGAGAAGGAAACACAAGCUCUUGAAUUGCUCACUGAGCACAGGGUUGAGCAUGGGGUGCCCUGGCAGUUGCCUGCCUAACCAGAUGACAUGACAUCCCAUCCACUGUGCCUCGACACCAGCUGCAGAAAUAUCGAUGUCUAAUGAUGGAUGUCACCCCAGACCUUGCUGGGAGGUGUUAUGAAAAAUACAGUACAGGCACAGAUUUGCCCCUUAAAAACAUGAACGCUUCGGAAUUCUGAAACAUACCUGAAUCUGAACGGAACCAGGAAACCACAAACUCUGAAGCUCUGACUCCCCUUUCAGUGUCGCCCCAAGAGCCCACACUUUUGAAGGAAUAACCUCCCUGGUGAGAUGCACCAUGUCCCUGAGGGUGUGGUGGAGUUGUGACCCAGACCCUAAAGCCAAGGAAAAAUCUCUGAACAUACAACAUUCAACAAGGACAAGGACAGGGAAUGAAAGAAGUUCUGACGUUGGACAGACACAAUUCCAAAAGUGGCAUGGCUUGAUGGAUGAAGGCUCAACUUUGGGGCUGGAGAGACCUCGGUCCUAACUCUGUGCCAUCCAUGGUGGUGGAAAUCCCUGAGUCUCAGUUUCUUCAUGUGUAAAAUGGGAUAAUAAUACUUACCUAAAACAUUUGUCAUGGGAUAGUAAUACUUACCUAAAGCACUUUGUAUGGGGCCUGGUACACAGAACAUGCUCGAAAGUGAAGGCAGACAGAAACAUGAACAUUCCACGUAUGCUGAGUGACACAGAAACCCAAGCCCGAGGUUACUACCAAACACAGUUCCGCUUUGCCCUAAAUUGGCCAAAGCUCCCUCGAGGAAAGGCUAAAGCCUUAGCUUGCCUGCAAAAGCUGAGGAGGAGAAGCCAAGCAGAAGGGGCUCACUGUCUACGAAGACUUACAAACCCACGGUGGCAGGAAUGGAGCCUGGGUCCUUCUCUCCCAAGAAGACCUGAGCCCUGGGACUUGAGAAACACCAAGUGUAAGACAUCAUCAACCCCCAGGUGUUCUGAAGCCCCACUCCUUUUCUCUUUCUUGACCAUUGUGGCUGAAUGUGAAUCCCCACCUUUCCUGCCCUCCUGGGGACCUUAGGAAUUCUGCUCCUCACUGCAGGUGAGUCACAUCAGUAUCUAGAACACACAUUGCCAUUGCCUGCCCCAUCCUAGCACAGAGACUUCCCAGCCAUCCUUCAAUGCCAGCUCUCCGUGAACUUACCCCCAUCUCUUCACAGCAGAAUGGCUCAACAGGCAGGCCCACUCCAUGGUUAGGUCACCAACCAUGCUGGGUAACAGAAGAAGAGGCAGAGAAUGAACAUGGGAGAGAGAAAAGAAAUUUUUAGCCAGGUGCGGUGGCUCACGCUGUAACCCAGCACUUUGAGAGGCCAAGGCGGGUGGAUCACUUGAGGUCAGGAGUUCAAGACCAGCCUGACCAAUAUGGUAAAACCCUGUCUCUACCAAAAAUACAAAAAAUCGGCUAAGCGUGGUGGCAGGUGCCUGUAAUCCCAGCUAUUCAGGAGGAUGAGGCAGGAGAAUCGCUUGAACCCGGGAAGCGGAGGUUGCAGUGAGCCUAAAUCGUGCCACUGCACUCUAGCCUGGGUGACAGAGUGAGAUUCUGCCUAAAAAAAAAAAAAAAAGAAAAAGAAGAAAUUUUAAAAAUAAUUUGACAUUUGAUUAAUUGUUUAAAGCAUCAAAGUAUAAAAUAAAUAUCCAUGUAUCCAUACUGGUAUCAAUAAAUAAUUGAAUAAAUAAAUAAAUGUGGGAGAAAGGACAGCUUUUCCUUACAGAAGAAUUCAAAGCAAAUAAAUGUAUUAAUAAUUAAGAAAAUAGAAAAUCAUCAUUAGCCGUGUGCAGUGGCUCACACCUGUAAUCUCAACACUUUGGGAGGCUGAGGCGAGCAGACUGACUGACCUCAGGUGUUCGAGACCAGCCUGGACAACAUGGUGAAAACCCGUCUCUACUAAACUACAAAGAAUUAGCCGGGCAUGGCGGGGUGUGCCUGUAAUCCCAGCUACUUGGGAGGCUGAUACAGGAGAAUCACCUGAACAUGGGAGGCGGAGGUUGCAGUUAGCUGAGAUUGCAUCACUGCACUCCAGCCUGGGAGACAGAGCAAGACUCCAUCUCAAAAAAAAAAAAAAAAAAGUCAAGAUUGUGAGAGAUAAGGGAAGACUGAGUAACUGUCACAGGUUGGAGCUGAGUAAGGACAUAUGACAACAAAAUGCAGUGCAGAAUCCUGGAUUGGAUAUAGAAACAGGAAAAGAACAUUAGUGAAAAUAUUAGUUAAGCCUGAACAAAGUCAGUCAUCUAGUUAAUAGUAUUGUAUGUGUGUUAAUUCUGAAUUUUAAUCAUGUACUAUAGUUAUGCAACAUGUUAGCAUUAAGGAAAGCUACGUGAAGCAUUUAGGAAAACUCAAUAUUAUUUUUACAGCUUUUCUGUAUGUCUGAAAUUAUGUCAAAAUAAAAUAUAUUUUUCUUAAAAAAAUCAGGGGCCGUGCACAGUGGCUCACACCUGUAAUCACAGCACUUUGGGAGGUUGAGGCAGGAGGAUCAGUUAAGCUCAGGAGUUUGAGAGCAGCCUGGCCAACAUGGUGAAACCACAUCUCUACUAAAAAUACAAAAAUUAGCCAGGCAUGGUGGUGCAUGCCUGUAAUCCCAGCUACGCAGGAGGCUGAGGCAGGAGAAUUGCUUGAACCUGAAGGCGGAGGUUGCAGUCAGCCAAGAUUGCACCACUGCACUCCAGCCUGGACAACAGAGUAAGCUCAGUCUCUGGAAAAGAAAAAAAAAAGCAUUGGAGUAGUGGGACCAUCGUGGGUUUCCCUGCAUUAGUUGAAUGCUUGCAUCAGUUGAAUGGUUUGGUAUUGUUUCUAUUGCGAAUUCCAUAUUGGGGUUUGGGGGAGAUAGGAUGAGGCACC
rnacentral:lncRNA from 1 species